rnacentral:rRNA from 1 species
UGGGGAAUAUUGCACAAUGGGCGCAAGCCUGAUGCAGCCAUGCCGCGUGUGUGAAGAAGGCCUUCGGGUUGUAAAGCACUUUCAGCGAGGAGGAAGGCAUCACACUUAAUACGUGUGGUGAUUGACGUUACUCGCAGAAGAAGCACCGGCUAACUCCGUG